AUCUUCGAUCGAUAAUACGAUUCGUUUAAUCGAACGAAUUAAUGACAAAUGAAAAUAUUUGAUAAAUAAUUAUUUAAAUAAACGUACGAUAUAUAUAUAUAUAUAUAUAUAUAUAUUUUAUCGUACGGAUAAAAGGGGAAUCAUUAUGUUGAAUUCAAUUCAGGAAAUACUCGAAGAUGAAAUCAACGCGUAAUCGAUUUUUUCACGUCCUUCCUUCCUCUAUUGCCAUGAAUUAUAAACGAUGCACGUUGGCAUUUUCGAGAGACAAGGAAUUCAUAGACGUCGAAGAAUCGCGCAUCUUCAUAGAAGCACCAUUGCGUAUAUAACGUUCCAUACGAUUACUCGUGAAAUGGGUCUCGAGCAAUCGGCGAUGUAGACGAUCCACUUCACGUCUCGGUGAAGAGUCUUCUCGAAGCCUGCCGAGUAAAUAAAAGGUUCAAUGGUCCACGUUGUCGUUUCGGGACGACAAGAAAAUAUCUCGAAUUCCUUCCGUUCGUCUUCGUCUUCUUCUUUUUCUCGUAAUCUCCUUCAUCUCCGACUCCUUGCUCAUCCUCUCACAUUUUCUUUUUUUUUCUUUUUUUUUUUUUUUUUUUUUUUUUUUCGUUUCAAACGGCACGAAACGAGAGAAAAAGAAGAGAAGAAAAAAAAAGUAAGAACGAAAGAAGAAAUCGAAGUUCAAUGUCUACGAGGCUCAACGAAUAAUACCUCGAGAUCGAAAAGAACGUAUUGUAGUUUGAAACGAAUUGGAAGAACGAAACAUCAAAACGAAUUGUAGAAUUUCGUUCAAAAUAUAAAAAUGGAAGUAUCGGUGGUUGAGUUUAGGACUGUGUGUCCAAGUAAAUGAAACGAUUGUUUGUUUGGAAACGAACAAAUGUGUGACAAUGAAGUUUUAUUAGACGUUUUGUUAGAAUUUUACUUGAAUCAUCGUUAACUUUCUCUCUCUUCUUUUUGUUUAAAAAAAAAAAAAAAAUUAUACGAAAUCUACCAUAAAUAAAUCAAUAUCAAAGAAUUAUAAAAACAAUAUUCUUUUUUUUUUUUUAUCUUGGCUAAAAGCUAAGCAUUUCUACCGUUAAAUCCAAACGAGUUCUGAAAAUAUUUUAAUUAACAUAAUUUCAACGUAAUUUAACUCGACUCUAACAUCAAUGACAUCACUCUAACAGUUUCCAAGUCGUUAAAGCUACACUCGAUGUCGACUCCACGUAAUUUUUCCUCUUGAGAUCUGAAUGAUGUUCACUUUUUCAUCUCCACCAUAUCUUUUUCUUUUCCUAUAUUUCAUCCUACAUUUUUACUUUUCCUUUUCUAUUAUGCAUCUUGAAAUAUAAUUACAGGCAUUUACCUUUUACGCAUGAAAAUGAUUCCGUUAUAUUCGCUUCGACAAGAUCAUAAAUAAUAAUGGUCAAUGCAAAGUUAUUGCAAAUUUUGAGACAAAUGGUUGUUCUUUUAAAACGACAACAUGCAAAUUACAUCAUGAAUAUUCUUACUUAAACGAUAAAUUCGAUUUAAAACAUUUAUGUAUAUAUAUGUAUGUAUGUAUGUAUGUAUGUAUGUAUGUAUGUAUGUAUGUAUGUAUGUAUGUAUGAUGUUGCAGUGAGAAAAAAAAAAUUAAUUAGCUGAAAGAUCGACGAGAAAGAUAAGUGACGUAUCGUUUGCGAUCGAUUCAAAGGGAUAUAUUUAUUAUUAAAAAAAAAAAAAAUAAAAAAAAAAAAAAACAAAAAAUUAUUUUCUCUUAACAAUUAGUUUUAUCUCGUUACAAUUUUAGAGUUUUUGUCGUGUUAAGUUUUAUCGAGAAGAAAUGAUAACGGUUCAUUUUUUUCUAAAAAAAUCUCAACAGUAUGACGUAGUAGACGAUGAUAAAUCGAUCAUUAAAAUAAAAAAGAUAAAAUAAAUGACUCGUAUAAAAACGUUUUAACGUUACGCGUCUAACAUAAGAUUUUCCACGGUUACGCAUCUGGAAACGCUAAAGUCCAGAUGUCCGUAUAUCGAGAAGAAAAAGAAAGAGAGAAAAAGAGAAAGACACUUUUACGAUGCACGUAUUUAUAACUCCAAGAAAAUGGACUUGAUUAAUAUUCGAUGAUAGUAGUCCGAGUCGUGAAGCUAUGCAACGCAAAGAGAAAUCUCAGAAUUCCGUCGUGAUGCAUUUAACUCGUGAACAUGUCGGCUCAGAGAUCGGAUACGUUUUCUCGCGGAUAAGGAAGUCAUCAAGCUACCAAAUGUCAGGAGAAAGUUUCUUUGGUAAGAACAAUAUAGUCUUUGUAAAUAGAUAUUUAAAACUUUUUGAUAUAGUUUAUCGAAGGAAAAAAAAAAAAAGAAAUUAAUCAAUUUGAUUGUUUUAAACGAACAAACAAAAGUGAAAGAAGAGAAAAAAGAAAAAAAAGGAAAAACUAAAUUAUGAAGUAGUUUCCUCGAAGACUAUUAUUUUACGAUGUAAUUCUUUCAGCGAUUUAAUUCGUUUAAUUCUCUAAUUAAUCGCAUAAUGAAAUUUGAAUUGAAACAAGUUAAC